GAUGUACGCUGGCGGCGUGCCUAAUACAUGCAAGUCGAGCGACCGGACGAGAAGCUUGCUUCUCUGAUGUUAGCGGCGGACGGGUGAGUAACACGUGGAUCACCUACCUAUAAGACUGGGAUACCUUCGGGAAACCGGAGCUAAUACCGGAUAAUCUUUUGAACCGCAUGGUUCCACAGUGACAGACGGUCUUGCUGUCACUUAUAGAUGGAUCCGCGCUGCAUUAGCUAGUUGGUAAGGUAACGGCUUACCAAGGCAACGAUGCAUAGCCGACCUGAGAGGGUGAGCGGCCACACUGGAACUGAGACACGGUCCAGACUCCUACGGGAGGCAGCAGUAGGGAAUCUUCCGCAAUGGGCGAAAGCCUGACGGAGCAACGCCGCGUGAGUGAUGAAGGUCUUCGGAUCGUAAAACUCUGUUAUUAGGGAAGAACAUAUGUGUAAGUAACUGUGCACAUCUUGAGGGUACCUAAUCAGAAAGCCACGGCUAACUACGUG
rnacentral:rRNA from 1 species